UGUUUACAUAUAACAGAGGCGUAGCGUUACUGAGCGCUCUGCAUUAGUACACACUUUCUUUCUACUUCCACAACACCACAAGACUUAAUGCUGACUAGACUGAAGGACACUUGAAUGCCCAUUGCUCAAGCUAAUUCAAUUUGCACCCCGGAGCCAAACUAUUGCGUAACAAGAUGACUUCUACGGGGGUGACUUUGCAAGGAUCUCCCUCGCUGACUCUGGAGCAACCCCUCCCACCAACAGUGUGCUCUGCACCCUAACGUUACACCUGAAAGCUCUGCAGGCUUCACCAGCAGUAAACCAGGUCACAUGCCGAUGUAAACUUUGGAAGAAGAGAUAAGUAUAAUGUGGCUUGAAUGAAUGUCAGUAAGUGAACUGUCACAAUGUCUAGAAGUUUCUAUGAAAUAGUUAUUCCUGUUUUCCAGGAAUCGCAGUCAACUUCUUUGUUAACUCCUGUUCCAGUUUUUUUUUUCUUUACAGCAGGUUACAAGUAAUAAGUAAUUAAUAGAGAGAAUGGGUGUGUUCAGAUAACACAGAGUAAUAUGUUGUGUUCAGUUGUAUGUUCCUUGUAUUUAGUUUGAAUUAAAGGGACCGUUCACCUGAAAAAAUUAAAGAAGAAAUUCUUUGUUUAAAAAAUGUUGGAAUACUUUAGAGGUCAACAGCUGCCUGUGUUCAACAUUCUUCAAAAUAUCUUCUUUUGUGUUGAGGGUGAUCAUGAGAAUUUUUUUUUUUUACAUUUUUUGGGUGAACUAUUUCUUUAAAACUCCAAAAUUAAACCCUGUAACUCUUUUAACAUUCACACACAGUGGAUGUGCUCUUAUUAUAGAAAUAAGAAAUCUCUUGUGUUGCUAUGACUUCACUUUGUGUAAAAGAAAACUUACCAUACUUCCUUCCUUUGUUGUCUCAGCUGUUUUGAAUUAUUUUAAGAAAUACAAUAAAGCAUUGAAACUUCUCUUGAAGUCUGGUUUUGUUUAAUGCGGGUUCCCGAUCAUGCACAACGCACCAAAAGCAUCACGGUGGCUGAUGUGAAAACCUUGUAUGCUUCCUAUAUUAAAGUGUGCCAUUAAUCAGCUCAUUACAGAGGGUCUGAAACUUAACAGGGUCACAGGGGUGAGUGAAAGAGGUCGUCCUGCUGAAGUGAGCUGUAGGAGGGCUACACGUGCACUGUGGCACAUACAUGUGAAUGAAAUGGGCUGCUCCGUUUGGAUUGGGCUGGAUUGAGCCCGUUCCCACCGGUCCUACUAGU